ACUUGAUAAAAAUUGAGGGUAUCACUGAAUCCUGCUGUUUUAAAAUCUGAGGCCUCUUGCUGUCUGGGUGCUACGGGAAGAAAUUUUUGCAGGAGAUGCCCAAGGAGACUUGAAUUGGCAUCCAUCUCUCCAUGUCUCUGCCCAGCCGUCAGCCCUUCACGUGAAGAUGGCUACUUCACUGAAGAUGCUGAGCUUCUCACACGUAGCAAGGAGCAUCGCACCCCUGCCUCACUUUUACAGACUCAGAUCAUUACCUUUGUUCUUUGGUGCUGCUGCUUUGUUGUCUAUGAAGGUGUAUGCACCCUGAUGAUGUGUAGCUGUGACCUGGACUCCAAUGAGACCUGAAGGAAGCUGGGUUGGCACAAUUGCAUUUGGACCCUAUUUUAAGCAACUAUAGACAUGGGCUUGUAUAAACUGAAUUUCAGUGGGAGUCUUGCAAAUUUACAAGUUUUUCCCAAUUUACAAUAUUUGUAGUGAUAGAAAUUUGGAGAUUCUUUUCACUUUUUGACAAUAGCCUUUAAGACUCCAAUCUUGAAUUUCUCUCUUUCUAGCACCUUCAGUCAAGGAAACUAUAAUCUGUGACUAAGUGUACAAGCACCAGUAGUUCAUUCUUCAGGGUAUCUUUUGAUGAAGAAUUUUGUUGCGGAUAGAAUCUCCUUGUUAGGGCAAUAAUAUUACAGGUAAACUCAGUUUCUUUUGUGUUAUAUUGCCUUUUUUAGUUUUCAAAACAUCUUUACUUUCUCUUGGUUGCAAAAGUGUAAAAAAGUGACGUAAAAAUACACACUUGUAGGGAUGCCUGGGAGGUUCAGACGCGUAGGGAUGCCUGGGUGGUUCAGUUGGUUAAGCGUCUGCCUUCUGCUCAGGUCGUGAUCCCAGAGUCCUGGGAUCGAGUCCCGCGUCAGGCUCCUUACUCAGUGGGGAGCCUGCUUCUUCCUCUGCCUGCCUUUCCCCUUGCUUGUGCCCUCUGUCUCUGUCUCUCUCUCUGAUAAAUAAAUAAAUAAAAUCUUAAAAAAAUACACACUUGUAAAAUAAUAAAAUUAACAAAGUUUGAAAUGAACUUGCUAAUCUUAGUUGAAGAGAUAAAGCCAGCCAGAAUUUGUUAUGCAAAGUUCUAAAUAUUUCUAUAUAUGUUUAGAACAUGAAGAGCCUCCACAUGUUCUCUAGUAGAGUACUUUCCAUGCCCAAUGAUGAAUACUUUUCCUAUAUCACCUCAUUCCUUCUUCACAAUGGAUGCCUGUGAUUCCGUUUUAUAUAUAUGUUAUACUUUAGUCAAUACUCUAUGCAAUUUAGUUCUUUCUUUUUGUUUUGUGCUAUUAAGAGUAUUGAUUUAAUAAAAAUAUCUUAUAGAUACAUAUUUCUAUAUUUUUUACCUCUGUUCAAUUAAUUCCCAGAAUUGAAAUUCCAAGUCAAAAUGUAAACAGAUUUACAGAUUUUGAUACAUAUUACCAUCCACUGCCUGAUAAGUUUUAUAAAUAUAAAAACUCACUCACUUGAGUAUUCCUCUGGGGUUUUCUUAAAGCAGAGAACAACUACAUCUAAGAAUGACUAAUUUUAUUUAUUUAUUUACUUAAGUUUUUAUUAUUGAAGUAUAGUUGACAUACAAUAUUAUAUUAGUUUCAGGUGUACAACAUAGUGAUUCA
ensembl:lncRNA